rnacentral:rRNA from 1 species
GACGAACGCUGGCGGCGCGCUUAACACAUGCAAGUCGAACGGAAAGGCCUGCUUUCCCUUGUGGAUUGCGGGUACUCGAGUGGCGAACGGGUGAGUAACACGUGAGUGAUCUGCCCCCAACUUGGGUAUAAGCCUGGGAAACUGGGUCUAAUUCCCGAUAGGACUGCAGGGUGGUGCCUGUGGUGGAAAACGAUUUUCUAGUGGUUGGGGAUGAGCUCGCGGCCUAUCAGCUUGUUGGUGGGGUAAUGGCCUACCAAGGCGGCGACGGGUAGCCGGCCUGAGAGGGUGGACGGACACAUUGGGACUGGGAUACGGCCCAGACUCCUACGGGAGGCAGCAGUGGGGAAUAUUGGACAAUGGGCGGAAGCCUGAUGCAGCGACGCCGCGUGGGGGAUGACGGCCUUCGGGUUGUAAACUCCUUUCGACCGCGAGGAAGCCACCUGGUUGGAAGGGUGGUGACGGUAGUGGUAGAAGAAGCACCGGCUAACUACGUG